CUUACAGCGACAACAACAAGCGCGCGCCAAAUAUGGCCGAUUGAGGAAAGACACAAUGAAUUUCUCGCAAGUUAGCAGUCAGAAUAGCUUUGUAUCAAUGUAUAAUGCACACCAACUUGUUAAAUGACCAUUUACCACGUGAAUACAACUGCACGGAGUAUUUGGACGUGAUAAGACUGGAAGAACCUUGUUAGCGCCGCGUACGACAAAAGGGCUCCAGAACUCCUGUAUGUCCAUGGCAAGGUCACCAUCCCGUCCUUGCUGUCUCAUGAAGUCGGAUUGCCACCUACGAACUUUGGCUGAAGGCGGGGUCAGCGCGUUCGCUGAAUCAUGACGUCACCACUGAAGAAUCCAUGACGAUCAUGUGCAGUGACGGGACGGACCAAAUCACCAGCAGUUACAAGGUGGACAUUUCGGACGUUGUCUCCGUUCUAACCAAUUUUGCCGGUACUUCCGGUCCGCUGGGAGACCUAUUGCCAGUAGGCACUUCUGUUCAUCAGUUCACCGCCACCGACCAGGAUGACGCCAUUUCCUGUUCCAUCAACGCACCGGAGGGCGCAAAGUUUGGCAUCACUAAGGUGGAUACCGCUACCGGAGCUCAACCUAAGUUUGGUGACGUCAUUACGUGAAUGUGUAGACGUCGUUACGGUUCGACGUCAUGACGAUUGCCACGCUUGAUUACGACUCUGCUACGAGUUACACGAUCACCGUCACGUGUACUGACGCUAUCAACCCUGUGACGUCAUCAAGGACCAUCAACUUAGCAGAUGACGUCGUCCAGCGUCUUCUCGACUACAGAUGUAUCGACCUGCCCCUGUGACCCUUCAGGGGAGAAAAUAAGGUCACUGAAGUCGAGGUAAGCGUUCAGCGUAUAAAACUAUUGACAACAUACAUAUGUCUGCAUUGGCGUAACUUUUCCCUAUAUACAUUAUAGCACUCAUUCCGUUGUAUUUGUUAUUCCCCCGCCCGAAAAGUGGGAAUAUAUUUCUUCUAACGUAUACGUCGGUCGCAAUCGUGAUGCAUCAAUUAUCUCAGUCAAUCUUUGUAAGAUAGAUCACAACAAUCAUGAUACAUCGACUAUUUCCGGAAUUCUCCGUAAGAUUGAUUAUGCAACAAUUCGUCUCCUGAACCAGACUGUGUAGAUCGGCAAUUUUGUU